UACGGAGGGUGCGAGCGUUGUCCGGAAUCAUUGGGCGUAAAGGGCGCGUAGGUGGCCCGGUCAGUUCGUGGUGAAAGCGCGGGGCUCAACCCUGCGUCGGCCAUGAAUACUGCCGCGGCUGGAGCACUGUAGAGGCAGGCGGAAUUCCGGGUGUAGCGGUGGAAUGCGUAGAGAUCCGGAAGAACACCGGUGGCGAAGGCGGCCUGCUGGGCAGUUGCUGACACUGAGGCGCGACAGCGUGUGGAGCAAACAGG
rnacentral:rRNA from 1 species